rnacentral:lncRNA from 1 species
GCCAAGUUCUCUGAUCUCUUACAUAGAAAACUGAAAACAUAGAGCAAAAACUAAAAAUGCUGGGUCUACAAUGAGGAGUAAUAUUGAAAGGGUCCUUUCAGCUAAUGUCAAACACACAUUUUUAAAAAUCCUUUAUUAACAUGUACUGCAAUCAUUAUAGUUAUCCUUUGGAUUUGAAUAGAAAUUAGAAUAAAAGACCAAUACUAAUAAUAAAAUGCAAGACCAAGACAUCCUUAAAAGUCAGACUCAUGUCUGAUCAGUAUAUCUGGCAGAAGACAUCGUGGCAAUCAUGCAAAAACUUGAGUUCAUCAUUUAAAAUUGAAAUGAAAAAUAAACAGCUAAAACUAGGGAGUUUUUGUACAUGUAAUGAAAACAGUCAUUUCACGAUCACACUUGAGAAACAUUCAAUUUUACAUUAAAGUAUGUUUUGGACAACUUCCUUUACAGCUCUUCCAGCCAGCGUGAGGGCCUCAAGCACAGGCGCAUGUUCCGCCAUUUUGUGCCUUGUCAGGAGGAGGCACCUUGGGGUCCUUCGCAGCCAUCCCUGUUUUUCCUUCUGCAAGGAACACAAGUCAAGGCUUAACACAUUUGGAGUACACAGCAGGAAUAGUGAAACGGUUGAAGGGGGAGAAUAAAGGAGUUUGUCUUGGCACAGCAGAACUCUAUGAAUCACCUUUUUGCAGGAAAAGAAGCUGAAACUUUAACUUUUAGUGCAUUUAACAAUGUAAGUGACAGGUUCUUGUACUGCAUGAGAAAAAUGAACUGGGGACAUUAAAAUACCAUUACCACUAUGAUUUCCUCGAUCUUCUGCUCCAUAUGAAGUCUCUUCUAGGCAGCUAGUGAUGACCCAUUUCAGGAAUCACACAAUUCUCUGAGAGCAUUUAAAAUCAGCUCUCAUUUUUUGAGAACUUUUUGUGAGAGCAGCAUCUCUUCUCUGGACUGAAAGAAAACACUGUUCCACUUGUGAUUUUUUCGUUUCUGCAAUAGCCUCCACAUUCUCUGGCCUCCAUACCUGCUGCAGAGAUCUUCAGAGUCUCAUUCCUGGUCUCAUUCCUUAUUACUUUAUUCUCCACAGUAACUUCAUUUUGGAUUUUACACAGUGACGUGGCAUCAGUGUGGAUAGAAUAUGUGUCUCCCUCAGCUCUUUUCAUCAGCCUGUCAUGGUUCUUUCACCUAUAUAACAUCAGCAUGCCAUCCUACUCUUCAAUAUUUCAACUACAGGAUCACCUAGAGUGGCAAAAAUACACAAAUGCCUGCAAGUCCUGACCUGAUCUCUGACUGUAGUUCAAGUGUGGUGAGAUCACUCCUCAGCUCUUUAACUUGAGCUAAAAGACUGGAUUCAACACAAGUUUGGUUGUCUCUCACUUUCUUAUGGGGGCAGUAUCUCAAAAGUCAGAAGUGUGAGUGAUUUGCAAGACACGGACAAAAACAGGCUGCAAUGGCAGGGAGUGUGAUGCCAGAGCAACCAAAAGAAGUGGAAAGACUGGUCAGGCCUCCUGAGCCCUGGAGCCAGUUGGAGGAGGUACACAAAACAAACAUUGCACAAAGCUGGGCAGAACAAAGUAGUUAUGAAACCAAGGUAAGGAGAAGAAGACCAGAAAACUAACUGGUUAGAAUAUGGCUGUCUCUUCUGAUACUAAUUCAGAAAUGAAGCACUGAAGCUAUUUUUUUCAUUUACUUUCUUUUCAUUUUAUGGAAAACUCCAUGAAAUGAGGUGCAUCAGCAAGAGCAAAAAUUUGCACUGCUUCUUGGGGAGUGUUUGAAAUUAGUAACAAUUUCAAAAACAGGGCUGAAACCUGCUGUGUGUCAGAUUUCACACUGAAGAAUAUGCUGAAGAUCGAAACCUAAUCUGGUCAAGCCCACUGGGCUUAAUGCCUACAAUUCAGGUGAACCAAGAUGAAUUUGGUAUUCCUGGAAUGACUGUAGUCUCAAAUAAA